GUGACAACUUAAAAACUUUCUUUAAACAUAUCACUCUGACACCAAUGUGUAAGAUGAAGUGGACAGGAAUGGAACUGUACUGGGAGGCUCUGACAGUUCGGGUGAGAAGAAAUGAAGGGUAAGUGUGAUGUCAAUAUUCCCUUUCCGUGUGACAAUAAAUGGUGGACGCAAAAGAGUGAACAUAUAAAUGGUCUGUGUGAGCAGCCUCAUAAUGAUAAUCAAAAUGGCUCGCUGCUGCGUAGCUGACCUCCUCCAUACAGGUGCGCUGUUAUAUUGACUUGAUGAGCAGACGGAUCGUGGCCUCUACUCCUUCCCUCGGCUCUCCAUGUUUGCCCACUACCUGGUCUUACUCUUUUCCCUUCCCAUUCCCAGUCUCUUUUAUCCAAAUUUAAACAGCAG
rnacentral:lncRNA from 1 species